CUAUUCUAGAUCCUGCCUGUAUACCACCAUGUUCAGUGCCACAAUGGACAGAUCCCCUGAAACUAUAAGGCAGCCCCCAGACCAUCAAUAUCCAGCCUGGCCCGCAGAGUCCAGACUUGAUGCCCCAUCAACGACAUGGCCAUAUCCACUCUCUUUAGAGCUACCUCCUAACUGUUAUGUUUAUCUAGAGAACCCUUACAGACACAGAGAUCAAACAAAAGCAAAGAUAACAAAGAAGCCAGGAGACUAGAACCACAGGUUCCCAGUAUGUGAGCAGCCAUGGUGCUGUGGGGGCCGAGGGCACAGGAGGAGGAUGUGGAGGAAGACCCGUGUCAGCUUCCCAGAUACCUCAGAUAAAGGGAGCCUCCUUCUUCUCGUAAAGAAUGCAGCUGCCUUGCAGAGCCCAUAUCAAAGAGGACGUCUGAGAUCAUCAACUCUCUGAAGUCUCAAAAUGGUGCCCGGUUUGAUUCCAGGCAUCAGCUGAAAUGAAUCCUUCCCUUACGGCCCUUUGUAGCUCUUUGGAUUUUAUUUGCUCUUUUAAUGCUUCCCCCCCCCCCACCAACUUUGCCCUGGCCUAUAUAAAUAUAAAAUAUAAUAACCCAAA